CAACCAAUUUAGAGAGCAUUUGCGUGACCAAAAAGAAAAAGCCUACUGAGAACGAGAGACUUUCAACAUUGAACAAAUAAUUAAACGGCAGUGGGUCUGGAAUUUCAGUUGCUGAUUCUUUCCUUAAUCCUAUUCUUUCCAGUUUCUUCCAAUUGGGGAAUUUUACUUUUGUGGCCUUGGAAGUCGCUUCCAGCUCAAAAUGGGCAGACUGAGGUGGACAGGGGUUUCCCCAAAAUCUAUCAUGCGAAUUGCUGCGUCAUGGCGCACAGUUUCUGCAGAUUCGAUGAUUGAUAAAGGAAACGUGCGUGCACAUGUUUCAGAAUAUCUACCCUCGUUACUUCAAAGUCGCUGUAAGAGGCUUAACUUUAACUGUAACAUGUGAAGAUUGAACUCUUUUCUAUGCAUCAAACUUUGCAAUUUUAAGGAUUCUUCGUCAUGAGCUACUUUUUAUGAAUUGAGCUCGACUUUGUGCCUUAGUUGUUAGUUAGGUUAAUUUGGAAUUGAUUAUGGUGUGAAACAUUACAUGAACUUAAACUAUAUUUUCUGGAUGGUGCUGAUUCCAGGUCACUCUAUUUUUUGUUUUUUGUUUUCAUGAAAGCAUAUUUUAUUGAUGUCUUGGGAAUAUCCCCGAAUACAAGAAGUAUAACAAAAGACAACAAUAUGGUUCUCUAUAAUAGAAAGCCAAUCAUCUAUAC